AUAUUGUUAUAUACCUGCUUCUUCUUCUUCAGCACGACAGCCCCUUACAGGCUUCGGCUGCCUCAACAACACGUAGCCUCCAACGCCUCCUGUCCAAGGCGACUUUUUUCCAGUAGUUUAUCUUCAAUAGUUUUAGAUCUUUAGCAGUGUCAUCUAGCCGUCUAGUUGGAGGUCUUCCUCUAGCCCGAGAUCCCGAAGGAUUUUUAGUUAUAUGCCUGCAGCAACUCCAUACUCGCCAAUUCCUAAGAAGUGAAAACGGAAAUAAUUAUGAGAAAUAUAUCAUUAUCAUGAGAAAGAUAUAAACUUUUUGUGAAAUUUGUGCCUUUUCCCAACAUAUGAAUAGACAUUGUGUAGCGGCAGCGAUAGCUCUCUCUAAAUCUUACUGGAUGCAAACUGUUCACAAAAUCUUUGGGUGUUGAUGUUUGUGCUUUUAGAAGCCAAAAAAGAAGAAGAAAAAAAUAGUUCAUUUAUUGAGUGAAUCUUUUUUCCACUAAGUUAAAUCUUUUCCCUCUCUGGGUAUUUAGAUACUAACUACACUCUUUAAAUUUUAUAUAAAAGCUCAAUUUGUGAUUAAUUGAAAAUUAAGUGUUCCUUUUACCCAAUUUUUUGAGUAGUUCACAGUCAAAUUUGAAGAGACAUUACACAACAAUUUUAACAAUGUGGCUCCAUGUGCCCGCAGUUCUGUUGAACAACUGUGAAGCUCAAAAAUGGUUAUUAGAUCUUAGUACUUUACUUAGUACUUACUUUAGUUUUAAGAAAAUCCACUAAAUUGUUUCAAGUGACCAAAAAAAAAAAGUUGCUAAUAUGAAUCACCUUGGAGAUGUUACAAAAGCAGUGCUUAGAAGAUAGUGAAAAAUACAUAAAAAAUAUUUAUUUUUCCUAAUAGUUUACGCUUUUACUCUCAGUAAAACAAAAACAACAGUAUGCAGUUUGCUCUGGGUCGAAGGUUACGACGGCGAAACUGCACGAAUUAGUCUUUUAAUUACUAACCAACCCACUGUAUAUCCAGAUAUGGCCUUUUGGACUGUGACAAACAAAAAUGGUUUUUUUUUCUAUCUAGGGAAAAAUAUACAAAUUACGAGGUCAUAUUGGAGAUAAAAAGUUUACUUGCAGAUCUCGAGAAUUUGUUCUAAAAGAAUGACAUCAAAAUAUUGGAAUGAAUAAAUCGCUCAUAAAGGAGAUUAUGUUGAUAAACAAAAUCAAAUUUUUUUAUCUAUUUUUUUGUAAAAAAAACAUAUUUGAAAAAAAUAUGUUAAAAAAAAUAUUAGUAAUAAAAUAAAUGCUUUCAAAAUAUGUAAAAAAUAUAUCAGUAGUGAGACUGGGGUCUUAUAGUCGAUAUGGUUUGUUCAUCUUAUUUUUCUUAUUAAAUUUUGGAGGUUAGAAGAAUUGGAUAAGAAUUUUAUCUAGCAUUUAUUUCUAAAGCUGAACUCCCGAUACUUAAUUGAAAUUGGAUACUAUCAAUAAUAUAAUCCCUAAUUUGCCUAUAAAUGUAAGCUUUAAUCAAGUUUCAAAUCUUUUACUUUUUUAAAAAUAAAACGGAAAUGUUAAAAGAAAAAUAUUUCAAAAGACAUCCAAUUUUCACAUUUGUUCAAACAUACUUAAAAGUAAAUUUCUUAAAGUCAACAUGCCGAUGAUCAAAAACUAUCGAAAAAUUAUCUUCUUUUGGCUUGCCAAAUGAGUAAAUCAAUAAAAAAAAAUAUUUUCAUAGAAAGGAUUUAGAUAUCUUUGAUUUAAAAAUAAUGAGAAGCUGAACACACUUGAUUAACAUUGACACGAAAAAGGAAACACAGAAGUAAAAUAUGUGAUUUUGAGAUUGCAAGAGUCUAACAAUAUUGAUUUUGAUCUCAACUUUUUACAUCUAAAGUUCAUUAUUCCUAUAAAAAAUUUGGAACCAGAUUCUAAUUUUAGUAUAACCAAUAAAGUUCCUUUUUCGUUUCUUAGAUUCUUUUAAUGUCACUUCUUUUAUUUAAAUGUAACAAAGCAAUUCGAGUAGACAGUCUUAAAAAAAGGAAGUAUUGGAUUUCUUUAGAAAACUAUAAUUUCAUGCUACUUUUCGAUAAUCUAAUUUUUUGAGUCUCUGAAAAUCUAGAUUCAAGAAGUUUAUUGCUUAACAAUUGCAUGUAAUGGAGAGUAUGGGACUUCGGAACAUUUUGCGUUGGUGAUUAGGUUGAGAACGUAAAAGAAUAGAAAAGUACUGAAAUAUUUUUUACUAGAUAUACAAAUAAUGAAUUAUAUUACUAUAGUGAAUAAAUAUUACACUAGUGAAUUAUAUUUGUAAUAUACUGAACUAUCUUGUACCAAAUGUUACAAAGUUUAAAGAUUAAUGACUCAAAAUAUUAACCUUAAAUAUGCUAAAUAAUUAAUGCCAACUGUUAUUGUUAAUUAAUAUUGCUAAGUUAUGAAAAACAAUGCAAAAAAUGUAUUUUCACAGGAUAAAUAUACCAUUUUUUUUAUACAAUUUUGAAAUUCUGUCAACAGAAAUACAGGGUGAGAGAAUAAGUAAGUCCAGAAAUAUGAUUCUAACAGUUUAGUCAAGAGAGCGUUGGAAAAUUUGAUAGUUAACUAAAUUUUGCUUUUUUUUCAUAUUCUGUUACAUCACGUGUAAUUUUAAGCGAAUUAAAAAGAUUGGGAUCAUAUUUUUAAGGCUUAUUUAUCUAAAGGCAUUGCCAUGUAACGAAAUCAUUAGUAAUUUCUUAUUAUUUUAUGAAGUGAUGUGCGAAAAAUAUUGAAAAGUUUGAAUUUAUAGGAAAUAACAUACAUCUUAAAAUCAUUUUAAGCAGUGCACUUUAAAAGUCAAAGUGCAAACUUUGAAUGAAAUUGGUUAUAUAGCUUCUGAGUUACAACAGUUUGAAGAAAAAUAGCAUAUUUGAAUUUUCCUUUUUCCUUAUAUUUCGAUAAAAAAAUCAUUAUUGUGGACACAGAUGUGUUGUUUCCCUUUCAAAGUUUCCGAUACAAGAUAAGUUAAAAACAAAGUUGUUAUUAAGUAAUCCAAAACUUUGACCUCUAUUAUGGCUAACCAAUUGCGUUCGUAUUUCGAUAUUAUGUUUUCCUCCCAUAUUCUGAUGAUUGAAUUUUUACUGAUAUAGAUAAAGGGUAUGUUUAUACAGAUAAAAUAAGUAGUUCCAUAUUUUUAAAUAAAUUAAUCGUAGGCUUAAACUUGUUCGCAUAUUUAAGAUAAACCAUUCAAAUCAUUAUAAUUAACCUUUCUGACAUGAAAUUCUAACAUUUAAUAGCAUAACAUUUUGUAUAGUAUACGUUAUCCAGAUUUAUUCCUCAUCGUCGCAUCGCACAGUAAAAAAUUUUUUCAUCCGUUUAGCAUUAUACAUUAUUGCGAUUAAUACAGAUUUUUCUAACGAUUUCAAAGAUAAAAUCUAUGUAUUUUGCCAGCUUACAGCUCAUGAAAAAUGAGUUUCAUUCGGAAUUUAUGGCUCACAUUUAUUUUUUAUUUAUCUUCCGUUUCCUACAUUAGGUUAGAAAAAACACGCAUAUUCAAGACUUGUGGAUUUGGUGCAACUUAAAAAAGUAUUUUGAAGAGCAUGUAAAACGCCCAUCUCUUCUGUUGAUUCUCAAACUAUUAAGGGUUGAAUCUAUUAAAUUAAAUCCUAUAUUGGAUGACAAUUCAUCAAGAAUAUUACAAUUUGAUGGAAAUUUUACAUAGUACGGAUGAAUAAAAAUAUGUAUUGAAAACUUU